AUCUGGUUCAAGGACUACUGAUUUAUCACUUCUACGUCACUCAUCAUUACCAUAUAAAAUGCAGUAAUACCGACAAUAAACUAUUAACAAUGAAGACGUUGUUAGUUUUAGUCAUAGCUGCGAGUCUGCUGACCACCGCGUUUUCUUUAGGGGAUGGAGCCAGUGGAUCAGACGUUGCACGUGAAAAUAGGCUAAGAAGAGCACUGAUGCCAGCGGCAGUUCCAGGCCAGAGCGCAAAGAUCCCUGCGCUUUGAUGACCUUUAUGACGAACAUGACAGCAACUUAAGACUGCAGUAGGCAACUAGACUAUGGUCAUUUGUCAUUGACAGUUUUAAGUUACAUUGACAUUUCAGUAUUACAAAUCUUAUAACAUUGUAUUCACCGCGGGGUACUGGAUGACUGCUGGAUACGGAAAGCUCGAGAAGGGCAAGUUCCAGUAAGAUGCUACCAUAGGCAACGAAUCAAUGUCGUAUAUAUGUACAUAAAAUGCUUCAACCUUUCAUAUUAAUCUAGUUCACUUACAUAUAAAUCUUGUGCUUUGAGUAA